rnacentral:rRNA from 1 species
CCUACGGGAGGCAGCAGUGGGGAAUAUUGGACAAUGGGGGGAACCCUGAUCCAGCGACGCCGCGUGAGUGAAGAAGUAUUUCGGUAUGUAAAGCUCUAUCAGCAGGGAAGAAAGAAAUGACGGUACCUGACUAAGAAGCCCCGGCUAACUACGUGCCAGCAGCCGCGGUAAUACGUAGGGGGCAAGCGUUAUCCGGAUUUACUGGGUGUAAAGGGAGCGUAGACGGCGAGGCAAGUCUGAAGUGAAAGGCGGGGGCCCAACCCCCGGACUGCGUUGGAUACUGGAUGGCUGGAGUACAGGAGAGGUAAGUGGAAUUCCUAGUGUAGCGGUGAAAUGCGUAGAUAUUAGGAGGAACACCAGUGGCGAAGGCGGCUUACUGGACUGUAACUGACGUUGAGGCUCGAAAGCGUGGGGAGCAAACAGGAUUAGAUACCCCAGUAGUC